GAGUCAGCAAAGCAACCUCGUCCUGAGCCCGAGUUUACACCUAGAAUAUGAGGCAGGUGAUAAGAGUGACUGUGUUCCUGAUCCUGGGCACUUUAAGCCUUACGAAGACCACCCAGCGCAUCUCCAUGGACUCCUAUGAAGGACAAGAAGUGAACAUAUCCUGUAACCACACCAACAUUGCUACAAAUGAGUACAUCUUCUGGUACCGACAGGUCCCCCACCAAGGACCCCACUUUGUCAUUCAAGGAUAUAAGACACAUGUGGCAAAUGAAGUGGCAUCUCUGUUUAUCUCUGAUGACAGAAAAUCCAGCAUCCUGAGCCUGAGUCGGGUUACCCUGAGAGAUAGUGCCAUGUACUACUGCACCGUAGGAGGCACACAGUGA